rnacentral:lncRNA from 1 species
AUACAUCUCUUACAUGUAGGACGCCACAUCAAGAAAAUUAAACCACGUAGACUCCAGGUCAUUUAUUAUGGCCAUAUGAAAAAAAUAAAACGGGAAUUAAUUAUUAUCCCCAAACCCAAAAUUUCCCCUUAUUUUACACUUGCCCGCUUAGUUAGGGCUUAGAAAGUAUAAACUACUUUUGUCUCUCCUCUCUUCUCCGCCAUCGUUGCAUUUUUAUGUCCAAAGCCCACUUAAAUCCUGUCUGCUUCUGCUUUUGUCAUAAAGAAGCGUUGUUGGUUUUUUUUUUUUGGGAAAAUAGAGGAGAAUCAAUGGCGGAACAGAGAUUGAAAAUAGAGGAAAAUCAAUGGCCGAACAGAGAUUGAAAAUGGAGGAAAAUCAACGACGGAAUAGAGAUUGACAAUGGAGGAAAAUCAAUGGCGGAACAGAGAUUGAAAAUGGAGGAAAAUCAAUGGCGGAACAAGGGUUGUUGGUUUUCACCUCCGAAUUUCAAAAUUUAACGGAAAAGAGCCUGUAGGUUUGCACUUAAGAAAAUAACCUUCCAAUUGAGGCUCAGAUCUAUAAGAUUGAAGACAAGGCAAGAGAUUGGAGACACCGCCAUGGCUGCAAACACCGGUUGCAUGUCGUCACCGUCCGGGUCGCCCCGCCAAGUUACGGCUCCGAUUGUUCCCUUGCCCUAAUCAAUUUGCUCAGAGACAGAAGAAAAAAUUAUCAUCAUAGCCUCAGAUUUUUGCUACAAUUAUUAUUCAUUCUUAUUCUAAUAAUUUUUUUUUCCUAUUUUAAUUAUUUCUAGUUCAAAAUAUUCAUAUUCACGCUCAUUAUCCAAUUACACUCACUUUAUCCAUUUUAACUAUUAUUUUGUCACAUAUGCUUGGUCAACGGUCAAAGGGAUUUAAAUAAUAGACUUUGAUCCAACAAUGGUUCCUCCAAAUAAAGAAAAGAGAAAAAAACUAAAGAAGUCCAAAAUCAAAAGAUUUAAACACUUCACAUGGAAAGAAACGCCACAUUCUUAAUAAAAGAGUAGCUAACAUUGAUUUUAGUUUGGACAACAGACUAACAUAUGCACCAUGAAUUUCUAGAACUUGAACGCCAACUUGCAGAGAUUACAUUCUUAAUAAGUUUAACACACAUGACCUUAGAUUUUUUGUUUUGUUUGUUUAACUAAAAUUUUGAUGACAACAAUUAUUGUUGUAUUUUUUAAAAGACAAGUUGCCUUGACACUAGAAACUUUAGUCAUUUAAUAUGAGCAUGAAUAUUUAUUUAAUCAUUAAAAAAACUUGAAGUUCGGGAAAUUAAGUAACAACUUGAGCCAUGGAAAACUAUACUAUUUCACCCCAGGAACAAGCUCAACUUCAAAAUAUAAAUAAGCACUUGAUCAUUAUAAAUAAAAGAACCAGACUACAUAUCAAAUAUUUACAAAGAAAAGUAAAAUCAGUUUAACUUGCUAACAGUAAAAGUAGAAUCUUUAAGCUAUUUUUCCCCCCAAAGUUUCAGGUGAAAUGACUGUCUGUAAACCUGUUGUGGCAGAAGCAAGGAGGAAAAAGGUCUUUUCAGCCACCCUACUAGUAAAAAGUAAGCUACUAAUGUACCCUAUUUCACGAUUGAUUAUCUAAUAUUCAGUUUUAAACCAUCAGCAUCAAACUAACUUGCUCAACAUAAAUCAAACUCAAACAAGAACUCAACUCACUAAUUGAAUUGACAAAGUAAACAUAACUUGAGUCGUAACUAAACUAAGUACUCCAACUAACUAGAUUAAACCAAAUUAAAGUAUGUGAACUAACACUGAACAACCGAACCAUUGAUUAGUAGUAACUGCUUAACUGACAAAUCUUCAAAGGUGACAUUAACAAUGAACUAAGCGGCUAGCUAAUUUCGAUUUAGACUAGCAUAACACAUUGACAAGCGAUAUAAUCGACCGACUAGGUCGGACAACAAGAAUUCCAAAUAUAACUAUACUAACACAUGGAACGACAUUCGAGCACUAAUAAUUAGUAAAGACUAGCAAUUGAAUGACAAAAUUAUAAAAGAUACAUUAAAACCCAAAGCAUGGCAUACUGGCCGAGAAUAAGAAAAAUAGAGCAAAAGGACGAGAUUUGGUAUUUACCACUACUCGAGGCAACGGUUCCGACCUUCGAGCACACUUUUCUUAAUGAUAGAUGAUGGUUCAGCCAUCCUUGAAACCAAAGCCUUGGCACCAUCAUCGUAUCACAAAGGAAAGAACGCUCAAGAGUCGGGGAGGAAAAUUGAAGGAGGGUGUGGAAGUUCGGUGGUGGACGGAAGUUUCGUCGGAAAAUGUUUAUCGUAUUUUCGGCUUGAGACCAACGUUAAACAAUAGUCCUCCUCGAGCUUUGUCCGUGUAUAUAGGUGUUGGGGGUAAAUAUGGCUCAAAUCUCACGAAUUUAAGAUGAAGAAAAAAGUGACAAGUUGGGCUUCUUAGAUUUACUAUUCAUGAAAUUUGAAGGAUUUUUUUUAAGGAUUUGGUUUGGACAUAUGAAAAGAAUAGGUUGUGGAGAUUAUAUGCUGAAAUUUUGGGAGUGAUUGGAGGUGGCCAGCCGGUGGUGACGAUUUUCGGCCAGUGGAGAUGGGCGAUAGUAGGGCGGAGACGGUAAGGAGAGAGGGGAGAGGUAGAGAGAGAGGAGAGCAAAGAAAAUAAAGGGGAAAUGAG